UCAAUUCUCCUCUCAAAAUUCAUCCCUAGAUCUGGUAAAACAACUAGCGGCCCUCUCCUUCUCUUGGCUCUCCUCCCAGCGUUUCAACCCGAACCGAAUGAAGAUGAACAAAAAUCACAACCUUGCCAUCUGAUUAGCGAUAGUCUUCUUCCAUCCUAGACCUUAAUCGGAGGUCUGAAAGCUAAUUAAGGUCUGUUGUGAUUGAGGUGUUAGAAUAUAAUUUGUGGAUGGCAUCACUUUCAGCGGUGCAUACAUUAAGAAUGGUAGUAAAGAUAAUUAUGCUCAUGGUGGUGGUAGUGAUGGUGGUUGUGGUCUUUGUGUGGUGGAAAGAUAAAGCAAGUUGCAUAAGGGAAACACAUUGAUAGUGACAUUGUUAUCGAUCUUGAUCUUAGUGGAAAGAUAAAGCUACGGAUGCAAGGCGUAAAGUACAGGAUAAAGGAUACAGUUUUGAUAUCUUAUGUGAAUUUCUACCUGAUGGGAUGCCCCUUGAGAAAUGGAAACGAAUGUGGCUGACAAACAAGCGGGUAAAACAGUUGGAUACAAGAAAGUAUUCUUACAGACUCACGCCACUAAGAAGUGCAAAAAGUGUUACAAGAUCAGGAGAUGAGCGAAAAUGAUUUUGAUUCAUUAGAGUUUGUUACCAACCAUUCAAAAUGUUCAUAUGCCGCGUACACGUUACAAGUAAAAAAGUUGUAUGGGGACAAGGAUUGCGAUGAUUUAGCCGUGUAGUAGAGUCUGCUUCUUGAGUGUAAGGGUCGUAAGAUGUU
rnacentral:lncRNA from 1 species